UAAACCAUGUACUAAAAGCGUCCAAGGUUAUAUGUUUACGUUUUCUAGAUGGGAUGGAAACCCAAACAUGUGUUUAGCAAACUUUUAUUUGUUCGUACCCUCUUAAUCAGUUGCCUGCUGUUAACCCUUUAAUGCCUUUAGACUUCAGGUUAAGCAAAAGGACUAGAUGCUGAUGCUGAUGCUGACUCCCCUCUACGCCAUCGUACAUUUCUUGCCCAUAUUUUCUAUAAUCGAGACAAGACUAGUGAACUAUUAACUCCGUGACUAUGCUCCACAAGAAGCUUGUUGCAAACUCUUGCUAUCUUCACUCUUUUCGUGGUUUCUCCAUGACAUACAGUUCCCAGGAGAAACGUGGCACAUGAGGGAAUCAAGCCCUAGGGUAAGAGCAGCAGCUACAUCUGGCACUGUGUACUCAGAUCUUCUGAUAGCAAGACUCCACAGUUCAAUGAGUCUAUCUUCCAUUCCAACUGCUAAGAAACCCCUGGUUUCUUUUGAUGAUCAAUUGCAACCCAAGAAAAAGGCAGUAACACUGCUUCUAAAUUGUGGCAAGGUCGUCAACUGUUUAACUGAAGAUUCUCUCUCUAUGGCCCAGAUUUCCACUGUCUUAUCCCUUUGAGCCAGUUGCAAAUUCAUGACCAUAUAAUUCUUUCGUGCACCUCCUGUCUUGCUAGAAGCUGAUAACCAACCUCAUCCACUCCUAUAAAAUAUUGAAAAAAAAAAAAGAAAAGAAAAA